GGCUUUCUGAGUGAGGCCUCUGGGUCACCUCCCACCCGUGUUUAUUGUACCUUGUUGCUUCGGUGCGCCCGCCUCACGGCCGCCGGGGGGCUUCUGCCCCCGGGUCCGCGCGCACCGGAGACACCAUUGAACUCUGUCUGAAGAUUGCAGUCUGAGCAUAAACUAAAUAAGUUAAAACUUUCAACAACGGAUCUCUUGGUUCCGGCAUCGAUGAAGAACGCAGCGAAAUGCGAUAACUAAUGUGAAUUGCAGAAUUCAGUGAAUCAUCGAGUCUUUGAACGCACAUUGCGCCCCCUGGUAUUCCGGGGGGCAUGCCUGUCCGAGCGUCAUUGCUGCCCUCAAGCACGGCUUGUGUGUUGGGCUCCGUCCCCCCGGGGACGGGUCCGAAAGGCAGCGGCGGCACCGAGUCCGGUCCUCGAGCGUAUGGGGCUUUGUCACCCGCUCUGUAGGCCCGGCCGGCGCCAGCCGACAACCAAUCAUCCUUUUUCAGGUUGACCUCGGAUCAGGUAGGGAUACCCGCUGAACUUAAGCAUAUCAAUAAGCGGAGGAA
rnacentral:rRNA from 1 species